AUUGAACGCUGGCGGUAUGCUUAAGACAUGCAAGUCGUGCGGUAGAAGGCUUCGGCCUUUGAGAGCGGCGGACGGGUGAGUAACACGUGGGAAUCUGCCUAUUAGUGGGGGACAGCCCAGCGAAAGCUGGAUUAAUACCGCAUACGCCUACGGGGAAAGGACAGCAAUGCGCUAAUAGAUGAGCCCGCGUAAGAUUAGCUAGUUGGUAAGGUAAAGGACUUACCAAGGCGACGAUCUUUAGCUGGUCUGAGAGGAUGGCCAGCCACAUCGGGACUGAGACACGGCCCGGACUCCUACGGGAGGCAGCAGUCGGGAAUAUUGGACAAUGGGCGCAAGCCUGAUCCAGCAAUACCGCGUGUGUGAAGAAGGCCUGCGGGUUGUAAACUGCUUUUGUACAGAACGAAAGGGCUCUGGUUAAUACCUGGGGCAGAUGACGGUACUGUAAGAAUAAGCACCGGCUAACUACGUGCCAGCAGCCGCGGUAAUGUAGUCGU
rnacentral:rRNA from 1 species